UACGAAGGGGGCUAGCGUUGCUCGGAAUUACUGGGCGUAAAGGGCGCGUAGGCGGCCCGCUAAGUCGAACGUGAAAUCCCCGAGCUCAACUCGGGAACUGCGUCCGAUACUGGCGGGCUUGAAUCCGGGAGAGGGAUGCGGAAUUCCAGGUGUAGCGGUGAAAUGCGCAGAUAUCAGGAGGAACACCGGUGGCGAAGGCGGUCUCUGGGCCUGUACUGACGCUGAGGAGCGAAAGCGUGGGGAGCGAACAGG
rnacentral:rRNA from 1 species